rnacentral:rRNA from 1 species
UCCGUAGGCGGGCAAUUAAGUCAGAGGUGAAAUCCCACAGCUCAACUGUGGAACUGCCUUUGAUACUGGUUGUCUUGAGUUAUAGUGAAGUAGAUAGAAUAUGUAGUGUAGCGGUGAAAUGCAUAGAUAUUACAUAGAAUACCGAUUGCGAAGGCAGUCUACUAACUGUAUACUGACGCUAAUGGACGAAAGCAUGGGGAGCGAACAGGAUUAGAUACCCUGGUAGUCC